GGAAUAUUUAGUCCAGACCCUAGCCCUAGUUCAUCAUUUUCCGCACUUUCGUCUCUUGAAGCAAGUCGCAUCGACAGGACAAGUACUCACUGCAUCAUGAAUUGGAAGUUGACCGUCUGCAUUCUUCUUGUCGUCAUGGCAACGCUGAUUGACACCUCCGAGGGCUGGGCGCGCAGGCGCAGAGACUCGGUUGCAAGGUCCUCGGAUAAACGUCGACUGGGUUAUGCAGUGGAGCCGGGAACACUCGAGAUUGCCUACGAGAAGACCCGAGGGCUGAUACAACAGCUGAGGAGCUGGCUUGAGUGGAGCUUGGGAGCGCAGGCGUCUUAAGAAAGAUGGCUACCGGAAGUGACGUCAACUGAGCCGGUGACCAAUCGAAUUCUCUGAAGCUCCCAUUUGAGGUGACGUCACAGUAGAGAGCAAACGUAGAGAAUAUCCACGAUGUGAGCAGAACUUGGCGAUGAUUAUUGGUGGAAUGAAAUAAAAGAUUUGACAUCGUG